GAUACAUUUAGAGACCUCUGGCAUAAGUGGAAAUUUGUGUAAAAUAGCAAACCUUAUUAAGUAUUUCAUAAUUUCUAGUUCUAAACCAAAUAUUUUUGCAAUUUUUACAUAAAUUUUUAUUUAAUUAAUAAGUAUAUGUACUAUAAAUGUUUUUAAUUUUCUCAGAUUCCGUUAUCCGAAAAGAGAGAGACUUCUCCAUUGCAAAAAGUGGAAUUCGUAUAUAAUACCAAAGAAAGAAUUCUUUACACCAGAGAUUUUCUUUUAAACUGUGCCAAAUCACCAUUUAGUCAAAUCCCACCAAAUAAUUUGGAUGAAAUCGCCAAAAUUGCACCGAUUGCAAGAGAAAGUCCAUUAAAUUUCGACCCCAAUCUCUACAAAAGGCAAGGCUUAUCGGUUAUGAAUUUACAGACGAGUCGUCAAAAUUCGGUGGAGAAAACCGAAUAAUCUGUCCGAGAUAAUCCUAAGAAUUAAGAAUCUUAUCUUGUUUCAGUAUAUAUUAUAUAUGCUAUACUAUACUAUAUAUAUAUAAGAAUUUUUUUAACUUACUAUACUAUUAACAGUUUUAUAUAUUUGUGUGUUGAUUUCUCGUGUUGUACAGUAUUCAGAGUAGUAUAGAAAUACUUCAAAAAGACCUUUUUCAUGCAAAUUCUUUUAAGUUAAUUUGUUCUGUAGAUAUUUUUGUAAAGCAAUAAAUACGUAUGUGAAAAAGAAAUGUUGCAUGUCAUCUUGCACCAACCAACAUAAUGCUUUUUUUUCUCUUUAUACUGUGUAUAAAAAUACAUAAUCGACUUAUUUAGUUUUUAUAGACAAAUGUGAUCAAAAACAAAUUCAACUUUGACUUAAAAAUGUAAAUUUUGGUUUCCAAAGAUAUAUCAUUAAAAGUAUUCAAUAUAAAAAAUUCUCUCCUCUAAGUCAUUUCUGCCUGCAUCAGAAGUAAGUUUUCAGACUUAUUACAUUAAUAAUAUUUUAAAAUCAUUUUAAUUUACAAUAUAUGCUGUCCACCUAAUAGUGGUUUGCCCCCAUACAUCACACUUUUCUGUUAACAAUAGUCGUGCCGGUCCUCUAUUAAUUGCUUUCGUGGGGACAUUUUGAAUUGAAAAAAACGUGACUUUCAUGUAUUUUUAAUAUUAACUUUAUCCAGUUUGAUGAUGUAUCAAUACACAAUACAUUCAACCCCUGAUGGCGACUGAUGAAUCUCUCUGAAAAGUGAAAUAAGAUUGAAAUUCUUAAUAAUGGGCAAAAUAAAUUGAAUUUAUUUCAUGCGAUGGCCGAAAACAGACAAAGAUAUUUAUUCAAACAAAUUUCGUGCGAUUUUCAGGGACGGACAAGCCUUGAGACAUAAAAUUUAAGUUCGUCUUUUACCACUCCACGGUUGACAUUCCGCACCAUGUAAAUGUAGAAGAUAAUUUACCAAAUUCCAAACACAAGAAAAUGAUUGAAGCAAAAAAUUUACAUAUUAAUUAUUAAAAAAAUAAAAUUUUUUUUUUUUAAAUUCUAAUUUUUACGAAAUUCGAACAUUGUUGAUGUCUUUUAACGUUUGAAUCGUCACGUGACGUAUUUUGAACACAGUUCAGACGUGUUUUUCUUGCGGUUUGUGGAGUUCGAGAAAGAAGAAGAGAGAUUUUUGAGGUAAGUCUUAGCCCAUAUUGACCCUAGACGUAAGAAUUUAUUUAAUAUUGCUGGAAGAAGCAUCAGCAGAAGACACCUCAGACCAUCAUUCGACAGUCACCUGUUUUCAUUUUCGAUUCGAAUGUUUUAAAUUUAAAAAGGAAGCUGCGGUGAGCAUUUUGCUUUAUUAAUUUAAGCUUUUGUUUUCAGAGGACUAAUUGCAAAUUUUCUUUUUUACAGAAUGAAGAAGUUGGUGCAAUUUUGGAGGAGGUUCUGCAGAGGGCAUGGAACAAAUCUGUUGUACUCAUACUGCACCCAAAGAGACACUGGAGGAGUGGGGGCUCGAUGAGCAAGAGGCAGCGGGUAAAAAAGACCUUUCCCAAGUGUGUAGAAUGGCAUCCUCCCGGAGUCGGGAUUAUGCGAUGCUACUUUCUGGGUCCGAUGUAUUUGGCCACGGUCUUAGGGGUUCAUCCAGCCACAGACCUUGCUGUGGAAGAUGUAGAAAGUGACGGCUUGUGUAAGUUGACAUUUUCUGGUUGGUCGCGUUCUGCCUGUUCACCCGCCACAGGGACACCACUGCCUUGCCGAAGUUGGAAUGGGGAGGAAUUGGAGGAAAGAGUCGCCCGAGUCUCGGGACCGUGGUAUGUGGUUUUGUUGCUGCAGAUGGUGAUCCUCUUCGAUUUUCCCCUUCUUCACCCGGACUCGACACCUUUUCCCAGACCUGACCCACAUACUUGUCUCCCGAAUGUGACACUUGGUCGAUGACAACAGAUUUGACUCCUGAUUGUGACCACCUAGAUGUAACACGUUUACUCACUGGACGCAACAUUCAGCUGACCUUUCUUUCCAAACAGCUGUUAUGGGGAUUGAGCUUCCGGUUGGUCAAGUCCUUUCCUCCGGAACAGUGUUAUGAGAAAAGGUGAAGACUGUCUUAUAAAGGAACUACAAAAUGUUCUUACUACUACUACCUCCCAAACAAGACAAAGCGGCUGUUCAUCAUACAAGUGAAUAUUUCCUGAAAUUUCCGACGGUAAGAACUCUUUUUUGUUUUCUCUUUUUACACAUUUUAUUCUCUUAUCGUAAUUUACUGUUUUUCUGAUUUUAGACACACUGAAAGAUGUUCUUCAAUCACGCACACACAUACACUCAUCAUCAUUGUACACGAAAAUAUACACCGUUUUAAUUAACCUUUACUUGAAUUCUCACACUCACGCACUUAGAGAACGAGGCGCUUGGCGUGUAAUUUUACACAAUGAAACAACCCAAACACUCGCUUC